rnacentral:rRNA from 1 species
AGAGUUUGAUCCUGGCUCAGAACGAACGCUGGCGGCAUGCCUAACACAUGCAAGUCGAACGCCCCGCAAGGGGAGUGGCGCACGGGUGAGUAACGCGUGGGAACCUGCCCUGGAGUUUGGGAUAACCCGGCGAAAGCCGGGCUAAUACCGGAUACGCCCUGAGGGGGAAAGAUUUAUCGCUCUAGGAGGGGCCCGCGUCG